CGCUAGCUACAGGCUUAACACAUGCAAGUCGAGGCUCAUCGGGAAGAAAGCUUGCUUUCUUUGCCGGCGACCGGCGCACGGGUGAGUAACACGUAUCCAACCUGCCCUUUACUCGGGGAUAGCCUUUCGAAAGAAAGAUUAAUACCCGAUAGCAUAAUGAUUCCGCAUGGUUUCAUUAUUAAAGGAUUCCGGUAAAGGAUGGGGAUGCGUUCCAUUAGGUUGUUGGUGAGGUAACGGCCCACCAAGCCUUCGAUGGAUAGGGGUUCUGAGAGGAAGGUCCCCCACAUUGGAACUGAGACACGGUCCAAACUCCUACGGGAGGCAGCAGUGAGGAAUAUUGGUCAAUAGGCGCUAGCCUGAACCAGCCAAGUAGCGUGAAGGAUGAAGGCUCUAUGGGUCGUAAACUUCUUUUAUAUAAGAAUAAAGUGCAGUAUGUAUACUGUUUUGUAUGUAUUAUAUGAAUAAGGAUCGGCUAACUCCGUGCCAGCAGCCGCGGUAAUACGGAGGAUCCGAGCGUUAUCCGGAUUUAUUGGGUUUAAAGGGAGCGUAGGUGGACUGGUAAGUCAGUUGUGAAAGUUUGCGGCUCAACCGUAAAAUUGCAGUUGAUACUGUCAGUCUUGAGUACAGUAGAGGUGGGCGGAAUUCGUGGUGUAGCGGUGAAAUGCUUAGAUAUCACGAAGAACUCCGAUUGCGAAGGCAGCUCAUUGGACUGCAACUGACACUGAUGCUCGAAAGUGUGGGUAUCAAACAGGAUUAGAUACCCUGGUAGUCCACACAGUAAACGAUGAAUACUCGCUGUUUGCGAUAUACAGUAAGCGGCCAAGCGAAAGCAUUAAGUAUUCCACCUGGGGAGUACGCCGGCAACGGUGAAACUCAAAGGAAUUGACGGGGGCCCGCACAAGCGGAGGAACAUGUGGUUUAAUUCGAUGAUACGCGAGGAACCUUACCCGGGCUUAAAUUGCAGUGGAAUGAUGUGGAAACAUGUCAGUGAGCAAUCACCGCUGUGAAGGUGCUGCAUGGUUGUCGUCAGCUCGUGCCGUGAGGUGUCGGCUUAAGUGCCAUAACGAGCGCAACCCUUAUCUUCAGUUACUAACAGGUCAUGCUGAGGACUCUGGAGAGACUGCCGUCGUAAGAUGUGAGGAGGGUGGGGAUGACGUCAAAUCAGCACGGCCCUUACGUCCGGGGCUACACACGUGUUACAAUGGGGGGUACAGAAGGCAGCUAGCGGGUGACCGUAUGCUAAUCCCAAAAUCCUCUCUCAGUUCGGAUCGAAGUCUGCAACCCGACUUCGUGAAGCUGGAUUCGCUAGUAAUCGCGCAUCAGCCACGGCGCGGUGAAUACGUUCCCGGGCCUUGUACACACCGCCCGUCAAGCCAUGGGAGCCGGGGGUACCUGAAAUACGUAACCGCAAGGA
rnacentral:rRNA from 1 species